GACGAACGCUGGCGGCGUGCCUAAUACAUGCAAGUUGAGCGAUGAAGAUUGGUGCUUGCACCAAUUUGAAGAGCAGCGAACGGGUGAGUAACGCGUGGGGAAUCUGCCUUUGAGCGGGGGACAACAUUUGGAAACGAAUGCUAAUACCGCAUAACAACUUUAAACAUAAGUUUUAAGUUUGAAAGAUGCAAUUGCAUCGCUCAAAGAUGAUCCCGCGUUGUAUUAGCUAGUUGGUGAGGUAAAGGCUCACCAAGGCGAUGAUACAUAGCCGACCUGAGAGGGUGGUCGGCCACAUUGGGACUGAGACACGGCCCAAACUCCUACGGGAGGCAGCAGUAGGGAAUCGUCGGCAAUGGACGAAAGUCUGACCGAGCAACGCCGCGUGAGUGAAGAAGGUUGUCGGAUCGGAAAACUCUGUUGGUAGAGAAGAACGUUGGUGAGAGUGGAAAGCUCAUCAAGUGACGGUAACUACCCAGAAAGGGACGGCUAACUACGUG
rnacentral:rRNA from 1 species